rnacentral:other from 1 species
UACAUUCUGGUUCACAUGCUAAUGUGUCAAUAAAUUUGAACCGAUACUUAUAAAUAGGUGAUAUUCCUCUUCUAUUGUUGUGCAGUACCUAUUAGGGAAGCCUGAUUUAGAAAGAUAUUCACCACCUGACCUUUCGGUUCAGGUAUGACGCAUGGCGGUGAUCUGGUUUGUUA